GACGAACCGUCCUAACGUUAUUCGGAAUUACUGGGCUUAAAGCGCGUGUAGGCGGGUCGGCACGUUCGUCGCUGAAAUCCCACGGCUCAACCGUGGAACAGGCGUGAAUACGGCCGACCUGGAGGGGUGUAGGGGGACCUGGAACUUCCGGUGGAGCGGUGAAAUGCGUUGAGAUCGGAAGGAACGCCCGUGGCGAAAGCGAGGUCCUGGACACUUUCUGACGCUGAGACGCGAAAGCCAGGGGAGCAAACAGG
rnacentral:rRNA from 1 species